GCUGAGGCAGGAGAAUGGCAUGAACCCAGGAGGUGGAGCUUGCAGUGAGCCAAGAUUGCGCCACUGUACUCCAGCCUGGGUGACAGAGCGAGACUCGGUCUCAAAAAAAAAAAAAAAAAAAAGAGGUUUUAUCUGUGAUUCCUUACAGCACAAAGUUCCAUCAAAGCCAAUCCAAAAGGCUUAUGUAGAAAUAGUUAUUCUGGCUGCAUUUUCCGCAAAUAAUCAGGCCAAGUAUAAGAAUAAAAUCUAUUUUUCAAACAACUCAGUCUUAUCAUGACUUUUUUUUUUAUAAAAAUGAGGACUGGAGAGAUUGAAAUUAUGUUUCAAAUCUCAACAUAAGUUUGUCAUUAAAUUCUAAACUCAUUAGUUUUUUACAUUUUUGCCUACAUUUUUAUACUAACCCUGUUUGUUCCUGUGACCCAACCAGCAAUCUCUCACUACAGCUCAGAAAGAAAAAGAAGAAUGGGUAAUGUGAAAAUCUGGAUCAAUAUUCUAGUUCUGAGCAAUUAUCCUGCAAAUCCUGCCAGGCGAUGGGAAUAAAUAAGAUGCCCAUCACUUGGAGGAAUCCUUUUGGAAAAGUAAGACCAAGGGAGCUAACAAAAGCCAAACACAAUGCACCUAAAUCCUAGCAAGCAUAACUAUAGCUACCAGUUAUCUUUAUGUGUCACAAGACAUCCUUUUCUCUCCCUUGUUGGAGGAGGACUCAGUUCCACAGUUUCACCUUAGCAUUUGGCUAUGAUAAGGAGUUCAUACAACCCCACCCCUUGAGACAUAUUUUUGUCCCAAACUCAAUUCCAAGCUUCCAGUCAAAGCCCUAGGAAAGAAAACUGGAUCUGAAGGAUCCAGAGGCAGACAAUGAUGAACGUUAAAAGGCACAGCCCAGGUGAGUAUGGCUAUUCCUGCCAAUUAAGCCAAGCUUCCCAUUUCACGGAUAAAGGCCAUGCUAGUAUCCAUGGGCAUAAAUGAGGUAUAGGUAAUUCAAGGCUACUGACAGCAGGGUAGACAGGGUGUAUGUGGGUAAGAGUGAAUAAUUCCCACCUCCCUCCCUGCCCUGUUAACAUGGGUGAAAGCCAUUUUAACACCCAUGGUGGCACUUGCCAAGGUUGCCAGGACUUGGGGAUGUAAGGACAGAAGAGGGAAACAGAUGCUCUUCCUUCUCUCCCUCAGGUACCCUGGGUAUCUGCUAGAAGAGGAAGGGAAUCAGAGAUGCCUGCUCUCCUCUUUCUAGAAGGGUAGCCAUUCAUCUUCAGUCUGUACCCCUUUCAAAUGCAUCCUGAAGCCCUGGGACUCCUUUGAAAAAAAUUCCUUCUUUUUUCCUUCUCUCCUUCUCUGUCUUCUCUUCACAGAUAGGUAAUUAUGUCUUCAUACUAUGGGACACUUCCCUCAGAUGCAUCCUCUAAACUGGAAAGAGUUAAUUUCCCAAAGCUUAAACUGGUUGGCUUAGGAUUGGGCUCAGGGGAAGAGAACCCAGAAACUCAACAUGCUGACAAAAGGGUGAAGUUUUUUACCAGUCGGAUUUUUGGCCUCCCUCUCUCUGUGAAAAACAGUAAAAGGUCUCAGUAUUUUUAAAUUUUCCUCACCCCUCCCAGUGUUUCAUUUUGAUACGUUUUCUAAUAACCCAGUGUGUCUUUUCUUGCCUUCAAGCCAUCAAACUCCAAACGGUCAUGCAACUGGAGCCUCCGGCGAUGGUCCCUUUUGCCAGGGACCCUGAGAUAGGCCUCCGAGGGAGCUCUGACUGCCAUUUCCCCAAAACAGCCCCCACUAUCAGCAGGAAACAGCUGCCUGAGCAAUUGUGUCUGGUUCGUGAAGUGACUUCCCAUUUUCAUCCAAUUGGCCCUGAUCUCACAUCCCAAGCCCAUGGAUCAUACCACAUUGUUCUUUCUGCAAAACAGUUGAGAAUUACCAGUAAUUGGGACUGUUUACAUUCAAUGCCAUCAUGACAGAAGCAGCUUUAUUAUAUUGCAGAGGAAUGAUUAAUACAUGAUGGGGAUUAAAGAUUGCACUGCAGCAGGCCAAGGCAAGAGGCAAUAAAGAUUAAUAAUUUUAGAUUUCCACUGUAGCAAGAACGGGAAAAAAGCGUCAUCUGAAAUGCCAACUUCAAGCAAUUGCAGUGAUUUCCUGGAACCCUACGUGACAAGUCCAGAUUCAGUGGGAAAGACUGUGAGGAUCCGUUAGCAAUGUUUACGAUGGGCAAGUCUUGUGAUGGGGUUACCCUCCUUGCAUUAGAAUUUGCAGUCUUCUAUUAGGCCAUUAGUCUUUGAGAGCAAAAACUGUAUGUAUCUCAUUUUUGUAGCCCCAGUGCCAGGCACACAGUAGCUGCUCCAAAAGCAAAGGACAUCGAGUCUGAAUCAAGCUGCUUGGGUUUAAUGGCUGUCUUUGUCGCUUACUAGCUGAGUGGACUCGUCAUAUUUAUAACUUAAUUGUGGUUCAGUUUCCUUCUCUACAGAAAAGGCAUGAGUUCCUCAUUCAUAGAGUUAUAAUAAGGGUUAAAUAAAGUCAUGCAUAUCCAAAGCUUAGCAUAGUACCUGAGACAUAGCAAAUACUUGAGGAAUGCAGGUAUAAAUUAACAUAGGAGUGAAUAACAUUGCAAGGAAACAGAGAAAAGGAUCCUAAACAGUCCUGCUGGUAUAUUCAUUUAUGAUUCAAAAAUCCUCAAUUGUUAAAAUUUGGGUCAGAACCUUAUUAUUCCAGGUUGUUGGUAAAUGUGAGGACCCUUCUGGGUUUGGAAGUAGAACAAUAAAUUGAGAGGCCAAAGAAGCUGCAAAUAAAAAUUGGCUUCUCUGGGAAAAUGAUUUUCACAUUUAUACCUACCUGCCUUUUGUCCUCCCAUGCAUUUCUCCAGAUGUGAUACCAAUGUGAUACAAUUGUUGUUUAUUCCUUCUCUGACAAUAGCAAGGUAGAGUGAGCCUUCCAGUGAGGGCUUAAAAUAUAGCUCCAGAGACAUUCACCACUACUUCCUGCCUCCAUGGUUACACAUUCCCUUUCACAAAUAAAACAUGGCCUCAUGCUUCAUGCUGAGCUUGCAUUUUACAUACAUCAUUUGGAUCUUCUCUGCAAACCUAUGAAGUGGGCAUGGUAAUCUUCCUUUACAAAUAGAGAAACUGAGGCCUAAGAUGGGGAGCAAUUUCCCUUUAAAAACCUUUUAUUGUCAAGGUCCAAAUGGCUGAUGAUUCAUGCCAUAGACAUCCCAAACCAGCUGGUAGGCAGAGCUCUUGGCAUUCCAAAUGGAAACGUGGAACAGACACAGAUCACCUGGCCACACAGACCUCAGCUCUAAAGACAGAUGACUACUUACCUGUUAAAGUUCCCUGUGCACUAUUUUUUAAAAUCUAGAGAUAGAUAAUAAAUAGGUUAAGUUACAUUUUAAAUUAGCCCAAGAGCAUUUGAGAACAGAAUCAUUUUUAGAAUCUUAAUUCUGAGAUUCACUGUUGGGCUUAAGUCACUGCUUCUGUGAUGGUUAGUUUUGGGUGUGAACUUGACUGUAUUAAGGGAUACUUACCUGGGAAAGCAUUAUUUACUCUCCAUGCUUCAGUAGAUACUGAGCCCUUCCCUUUUCUGCUGAAAGGGAAACCCAGGUGGCUUGGCGUUUGAUUAGAAUAAUUGGGCUGCCCCAGGUGUGUCCGUGAGGGUGCCUCUGAGGGAAACUGGGACUAAAUGAAGAAGAUCUGCCCUCCAUAUGGGCAGGCACUAUUCCAAUUGGCUGGGGGCCCCAGAUAGAACAAAAAGGCAGAUAAAGGGCAGUCUCCCUGGAGAAGAGACCUGCCUGUAGACAGACAUCAGAACUCCAGGUUCUCCAGCCUUUGGGCUCCAGGACUCACACCAAUGCGCCACCGGGCUCUCUGACCUUCAGCUUUGGACUGAGAAUUACACCAUAGAAUGCCCUGGUUCUGAGGCCUUCAAACUCAGACUGAGCCACGCUACAGGCUUUCCGGAUUGUCCAGCAUACAGAAGGUCUGUUGUGGGAUUUCUCAGCCUCCAUGAGAUUGAAGACAUGGAGUGCAUUUGCUGGGUGUAAAUAAUUAAAGACAUCUCUGCUUUCAAUUGGAGUCAUCGAAUUCUGUGAAAGUGAAUUGAGCUGCUUCAGGAAGUUCCAGCUUCCUCAAAGGGGGACUGAUGAGAAGAGCUUGUACAUCACCUGAGUGACCACCCAUCCAGAAUCUGCUUCCAUGAAUGUUCAAGUUGUUGCAGGAAGCUGCAAAUGCUGUAAAGUGCUCAGGGAGCACUCAUUCAGGGGAAUUGUUAGCACGGAUAUUUGGAUUCUGGGAGACUGAGGAGCCCCCUUUUAGGCAGUGAUACCCCCUGGCAGCAAAGCCUGGCAGGUAUCCAUCCUCCUCCAGUUGCGUCAGCCCUGUCAGGGCUCCAGCAACCAUGGAUAAUGAGAUUACCAAGCUCUUCUGGGAAGACAAUGUGUUCCAACAAUGGCCCGUUCCACAUGCUUUCUUUAUAUGAGUGACACUCCUCUUUAUCCACAAGAUGUGUGCCCUGAGCAACAGCAACCAUGCUGUGAAGAAGCACGAACCAGCCUAGACUGAUAGAUGGCAUACAAAGGCUCACAUGGAGUGGAACUGAGGUCCCCAGCCAGCAGCCAGCAGCCAGCAGCCAGCCUCAACUACCAGCCCAGUGAGUGAAUGAAGCUUCAAAUGAUUCUACCACUCAGCUUUUGAUCCACUUCAGCUGUUGCAAUGUAGCGCUAAGACAAGUUAUCCCCACUAAAUCCUGCCCAAAUUACAGAUUAAUGAGCAAAACAAAUUUGUCUUGUUUGAAGUUACUAAGCAUCAGAACAAUUCUUUUUUAUACUAAAGGUAACUGUUACUGAGAAACAGGUCUCAGGUGCCUGACAUUACUCACACAAAAUGAUAUAAAUCUAUUUUGAGAUCAUCAAAAAUGACUCUAAUUUUGCUUCGUUGUUAACUUGGAAUUAUCUAUGACCUCUUUAACUCCAUGCCUUCUGCCCCAGUAAAUUGCAAAUAAAUGAAUGGUAUUAUCUGAAUUGAAUAUUAAGGUUAACUGAGAAGUCCCAUGUAACAGCAAAAGUUCUAGACACAGCCUAUGUCCCAGAUCAACAGACAGAUUUCCAGCAGGAAUGAAAAUAUAAUGGCAAAUAUGUUUGGCAUUUUUUUUUUUUUUAGACAGGGUCUCUCUUUGUCAACCAGCCUGGAGUGCAGUGGUGCUAUCUCAGCUCACUGCAGCCUCUACCUCCUGAGUUUCAGCGAUUCUCCUGCCUCAGCCUCCCAAAUAGCUGGGAUUACAGGCAUGCACCACUACACCUGGCUAGCUAAGUAUGUUUUAUAGUGAAAGUAAAAGCUGUUAAGUUCUACUAAGAAAUGGCUUACUUAAGCAAAAAGAGCAGUAAAUAUAUAGUGAAAAAAACUGGGUUGAUAUUUUCACGCUGUCAUUUUCUAGCUGAGCAAGUCACUUAACUUAUCCAGGCCUCAAUUUCCUCAAAUGCAAAAUUGAGGGGAGAAUAAUGCCUCAUUGUCACAGUUCUUGUGAAGAUUUAAUUCAAUGGAUUAACAGACAGAAAAGUGCUCUAGAUUGUUACACAAAAGAAAAUAAUGAAUGGCAAUUUUUUAAAUGUUAUUUUUAAAAACGACCAGCUAAAUCUUAAAUGUUAAAACAGCCAGCUAAAUCUUAACAUUAAUCAGAGGUCUAGUUUUCACUUAGGAAGAUUGAGGACUGAUUUCAUUAACCUAUAUUUAGAGGUAUUACAUGAAAUUUAUUUUCCAUUUACUGCUAACCUUCUUACUAAUUUCUAUUUGAGCAGCUAUGGUUUUAAAUUUGUCUGGCUUCUUAAGAGUAUGAUCAGCUGGUGCUUGGCUGUUAGCCAAAACAUAAGCUACAGGGAACAAGAGCUGGCAGCUCUGGUAUUAUAUUUUUGAUGUUUGAAAAACCCAGCCAGUUUAGAGGGUUUUUUAAAAAAGCAUUUUAAUAUCAGUGAAUUAACAGCUUAAUGUCAGGAGCAAGGUAAAAUCUGAGAAAGAAACCUUGAUAUGAAACCUUUUCCUAGGAAGAGAGGAAAGAUCACAGUAACUGAAACCUUCUUAUACUCUUGUUUAAAACCUAUCAUACCUGAAUUAAAUAAGGUGUCAUGGCAGACAGAAUGAGAAAGCUUAUUCUGUGAUGCUUUCUAAUGCACUUUACAUAAGAACCUUCAAAUGGCAUUAACUUGCAGCUGCCUUCACCCUGGGCUUAAUUUUGCAGAACUUCCAUUAUCAUAGUUACAAUUCCCUGACGCCUUGGAAAUGCUGCCAAGGCCUUCCUAGUUGAAGACAUUGAAGCCGCUUGCUGAAAAAGGAAUCACACCACAGCUGUGCUCUCUUGGGGCUUGUGCUCUUUUGGGAACUAAAGCCCCACAGUUCUUACAAGAGAGGUCCAGGAGCCAUGCCUAUGAGCUUUGACUGUCUGAGAAAUGAAUUAUCCUCACCGUAGUGGAUAGAAGCAGGAGUGGAAUCUCAGCUGACUGCAGCCACCCCAACCAAGUCCUCUUUUAUGACAAAAUGAGUGAAACAUCACACAUCGACAUUUUAGAGGCUACAUCUGGCUUUCACCAAUUAGAUGUAAAGGUCCUGAGCCGCUGUAAAUAUGCACUUUGGGCAACAGUUCAAAUUCCACCUCUGUCACAUGUCAGCUGGACGAGCUUGGGAAAACUACUUAAGUUAAAAUCUGGUGAUAAAAGAAGUUCAGAUGUAUUGAAUCAUUAUGAAGAUGAACUGGGAUAAUCCCCAGACAGUGUUAAUACCUGGCCCGGAUAAGACCUAAAAGGCAAUCAGCAGCUAGUAUCAAAAAAUAAUAACUAGGGAAGCAUGGUGGCUCAUGCCUCUAAUCCCAGCACUUUGGAAGGCCAAGACAGGUGAUUGCUUGAGGUCAGGAGUUCAAGACCAACCUGGCCAACAUGGUGAAAACUUGUCUCUACAAAAAAAUACAAAAAUUGGCUAGGUAUGGUGGCAGGUGCCUGUAAUCCCAGCUACUCGAGAGGCGGAGGCAUGGGAAUCCCUUGAACCCGGGAGGUGGAGGUUGCAGUGAGCCGAGAUCAUGCAACUGCACUCCAGCUGGGGUGACAGAGCGAGACUCUGUCUCAAAUAAUAAUACUAAUAAUACUAAUACUACUACUACUACUAAUAAUAAUAGUAACCACUGUUAUUAUUACAAUAAUAUCACACAUUUGUUUAUUUAUACAAACAUUUUCUGUUUGACAAAUGUUUAUUAAAUGCUAAUUAUGUAUAAAGUGAGGACAAAGCAAUUUCUAAGAAAUUAAUACAAAAUAAAUGACCAAAACUUCUCUGCAUCUACCUCAAUUUUACCAGGAGGAGAGGAAACAGGACAUUUGGGGUGUCAGUGUGAUUUGCGUAGCCUUGACUUGUCCACUUUCUCCUGUUUAUUACCUCGUGAACAUGAUUCCAAGAGAGAUGCAGAGUGUGAAAGAAAGCAUGCCAUAGCCCUGCUUGUGAAAAGAGUAUUUGAAAGAUCAAGUGUGCUGAGGGGAGCGGGGCAGCAGAGAGACUGACUGUCCAGAGGGCAGGUGGGGUCUACAGGAAGGUGCAUCUCAGGAACCUAGAAUUACGGUACAUUUAUAAAAAUACCACCAGUUAGAUUCCUAUAAUAAUUCACAAAGCCUUGCCAAUGCAAAGAGCAAAGCUCUGACAGGCCUGAUUAAACUUAAAUGAAAAAAUGCUAAAAUGCUUGGUCAUCAGCAGAAGCAGAGUCAGGUUGCAGAGGCAAAUGGUGGCAAUAACCUUCAAAGAACUAGCCAGUGUGCCCCAUUGGUCCACAUCCCUAUUUGGAAAGGAACAGCAGGCUCUGAUAGCUUGAUGCCAUUCAAUGCUCCAGCUCAUACCUCUAGUCCUCGCUGAAUGCUCACCAAGGACCUUCAGUGAUCUGGCUUCCCCUGCACUUAAGAAUCUAAAGUUGCUGGUUAUACCAGUUUGAAUGGAAGUACCCCUGACGUUCCAUUUCUCUUU
rnacentral:lncRNA from 10 species